UGGGGAAUUUUGGACAAUGGGGGAAACCCUGAUCCAGCCAUCCCGCGUGUGCGAUGAAGGCCUUCGGGUUGUAAAGCACUUUUGGCAGGAAAGAAACGUCGCGGGUUAAUACCCCGCGAAACUGACGGUACCUGCAGAAUAAGCACCGGCUAACUACGUGCCAGCAGCCGCGGUAAUACGUAGGGUGCAAGCGUUAAUCGGAAUUACUGGGCGUAAAGCGUGCGCAGGCGGUUCGGAAAGAAAGAUGUGAAAUCCCAGAGCCUAACUUUGGAACUGCAUUUUUAACUACCGGGCUAGAGUGUGUCAGAGGGAGGUGGAAUUCCGCGUGUAGCGGUGAAAUGCGUAGAUAUGCGGAGGAACACCGAUGGCGAAGGCAGCCUCCUGGGAUAACACUGACGCUCAUGCACGAAAGCGUGGGGAGCAAACAGGAUUAGAUACCCUGGUAGUCCACGCCCUAAACGAUGUCAACUAGCUGUUGGGGCCUUCGGGCCUUGGUAGCGCAGCUAACGCGUGAAGUUGACCGCCUGGGGAGUACGGUC
rnacentral:rRNA from 1 species